GAGGAAUAUUGGUCAAUGGGCGCAAGCCUGAACCAGCCAUCCCGCGUGAAGGAAGAAGGCGCUAUGCGUCGUAAACUUCUUUUCCGGAGGAAUAAAAUCUUGUACGCGUACAGGACUGAAGGUACUCCGGGAAUAAGCAUCGGCUAACUCCGUGCCAGCAGCCGCGGUAAUACGGAGGAUGCGAGCGUUAUCCGGAUUUAUUGGGUUUAAAGGGUGCGUAGGCGGAUUAAUAAGUCAGUGGUGAAAACCUUCAGCUUAACUGGAGACUUGCCAUUGAUACUGUUAGUCUUGAGUAUGGUUAAGGUAGGCGGAAUGUGUAAUGUAGCGGUGAAAUGCUUAGAUAUUACACAGAACACCAAUUGCGAAGGCAGCUUACUGAGCCAUAACUGACGCUGAUGCACGAAAGCGUGGGGAGCGAAC
rnacentral:rRNA from 1 species